rnacentral:rRNA from 1 species
UAAGGAAUAUUGGUCAAUGGUGGGAACACUGAACCAGCCAUCCCGCGUGCAGGACGAAGGCCCUCUGGGUCGUAAACUGCUUUUGUCAAGGAAGAAACGAGUGGAUUUAUCUGCUCCUGACGGUACUUGAAGAAUAAGCACCGGCUAACUCCGUGCCAGCAGCCGCGGUAAUACGGAGGGUGCGAGCGUUAUCCGGAAUCACUGGGUUUAAAGGGUGCGUAGGCGGCGUGCUAAGGCAGGGGUGACAUC